AUGUCGCGGGGCGGCCACGGCGGGGCAGAUGAUGACGUGCAGCCCUACCGGCCGCUGAAGGCGACGUCGGAGGGGGUGUGGCAGGGCGACAACCCGCUGCACUUCUCGCUGCCGCUCCUCAUCCUCCAGAUCUGCCUCGUCCACGCCGUCACCCGCGGCCUCGCCUCCGGCCUCCGCCCGCUCCGUCAGCCGCGCGUCAUCGCCGAGAUCAUCGUAAGUUCAUUCCUCAUCGUCCCUAGCUAG
rnacentral:rRNA from 1 species